rnacentral:rRNA from 1 species
UACGUAGGGUCCGAGCGUUGUCCGGAUUUAUUGGGCGUAAAGAGCUCGUAGGCGGCUUGCUAAGUCAGGUGUGAAACCUCCAGGCUCAACCUGGAGCCGCCACCUGAUACUGGUAUGGCUAGAGUCCGGUAGGGGACCACGGAAUUCCUGGUGUAGCGGUGAAAUGCGCAGAUAUCAGGAGGAACACCGAUUGCGAAGGCAGCUCGCUGGGACGUUACUGACGCUGAGACGCGAAAGCGUGGGGAGCAAACAGG